UGGCAAAAUAUACUUAGUCUUCAUGUCAUUUGCUCAUAAUAAAAUAAAUCAUCAGAUAAUUGAAAUGUAUGAUAUACAUCGUAAUCAUCCCAAUAAUUUGAUAUUGAAUAAUAUGGGAGAUUACGAAGAAUUUAUAUAUGAUGGACAUAUUAAAACUAGUUUAAAUAUUUUGCGUGGAUAAUUUGAACUCAAUAAGUUAUUAGUAUUAGUUUGCUGAAUCGUUACAGUAAGUAUCAAGCCAGAGCCAGAUAGCCUAGUCAUAAGUCAUAAGUCAUAAGUGUGACUGGACUGAUGAAUCUUGAGCUAUCCUUAGCACGUACGUAGUUGUCUAUUUUUCCUUAUAUUUUAAUUGUUUGUUGUUGCUUCUCUCCAACUAUCAGUACGGGACUAGGUUGACCUCCGAGUAGAGACAAUAAUCCAAAAUGAUUCGACAUUAAUCAAAACCCAUAUAAUAAGAAACGAAAAUUUUACUGCAAGUACCGAUCGUACUUAGCGUAAAUGAUAAAGAGCUUGAUGGUUGGUAUUCGAUAUCUCAAAUUCGAAUUCUAAUUGAUUCAUAUUUAUAGCUAAAUUUAUUUUUGAAUUAAAUAAACGAAGCGGAUAGCAUGCUAUCUAUCUCUCUUAAAAAAAAAUUUUACGGCAAGUUAUUUAAUUGACCCAACCACUACAACAAAAACGGUCUAUAGCGACACUUUUAAAUAUAGUUACAUGUCAAAAAAGUGCUGCUAGCUAAAAUUACCGACACUUUUAAAAAGUGUUGCUAUAUGUGGGGUCGCUAGGUAUAUAGUGACAGUUAAAGAGUGUCGCUAUAACCUAAAAGAGUGCUACUAAUUUACCAACACUUAUUUAAGCAUUUAGCAACCGCCGAAACUCUAUCUCGUUGGCUGCGAUGGCGGAGAAGGACGACAGUAAAGGUUCUUCAUCUAGAAUUUCAGUAGAUUGAGUGAAGAGAGAAGAAAAUAUGGUAAUUGAUUUUACUUGUUUUUUUUUCUUUUCUGUUUGUAAUCAGGCCAAAUGGACUGGGUGUGGUGGGUUGAGUAGAGUAAUCUUUUAUUUUUGGUUGGAUUGGGCUUUAUAUUUAGGCAUUAGUAGAUGUGUUUUUAAGUUCUAGCAUAAAUGGGACACUUACUCAAAAGUGUCCCAAAUAUGUGUCGCUAUAACCUAAUUCUGUUGUAGUGAACAAGCUUAAUAACUAGCAACUUCGCAAAAAUAAAUAAAUAAUCCAACCCAACCAGCCCAAUAUUGCUUAUUUCUAAUUUGGUCAUUUUGUUUCCCUCACACCAAUUUUCUGCCCGCACUUGGUGCAUUCGAUUGAUAAAUUUCAUAUACUACACUCUUAAAAUUUAUUAUAAAUAUUUUCAUCUAUAAAUAUCAAAAUUAUACAUUUUCAACAACUCAUUCUUAUAAAUUAAAUAAUCUUUUUAUUACUGUUGAUUUUUAUAGAAUAAUUACUUUACAUGCGUUAGAAAAGUACGAAAAAAUAUAUUAUAUAUAUAUUUGUUUUCGUAAUAUUACGUUUCGCAUAUUGUAAUUAAUAUGUUGAGAUAUAUUUUCUAUAAAUAUGUUAAAUAUAAAAUAUAUUUUAAAAUAAUUUUUUUAUAAUUUUAUAUAAUAAUAUUAGAUGAGACUCUGGCAGUAAACAAGUCUUAAAAGAGUGAUGUUCAACUGCGUUAACUAUUGAAAGUAUGCAAAGGAGAGAGUUUACUGUAUCAUACUUGCACCACGUAAUAACAAGCCAAUUAUAUAUAUUUUUUUUAAAAAAAUUAUAAUAAAAAUAUUUUUUUAUUAAUUAC
rnacentral:lncRNA from 1 species